rnacentral:rRNA from 1 species
AGUGAACGCUGGCGGUAGGCCUAACACAUGCAAGUCGAACGGCAGCACAGUAAGAGCUUGCUCUUACGGGUGGCGAGUGGCGGACGGGUGAGGAAUACAUCGGAAUCUACUUUUUCGUGGGGGAUAACGUAGGGAAACUUACGCUAAUACCGCAUACGACCUACGGGUGAAAGCAGGGGAUCUUCGGACCUUUCGCGAUUGAAUGAGCCGAUUUCGGAUUAGCUAGUUGGCGGGGUAAAGGCCCACCAAGGCGACGAUCCGUAGCUGGUCUGAGAGGAUGAUCAGCCACACUGGAACUGAGACACGGUCCAGACUCCUACGGGAGGCAGCAGUGGGGAAUAUUGGGCAAUGGGCGAAAGCCUGAUCCAGCCAUACCGCGUGAGUGAAGAAGGCCUUCGGGUUGUAAAGCCCUUUUGUUGGGAAAGAAAAGCAGCAGGUUAAUACCCCGCUGUUCUGACGGUACCCAAAGAAUAAGCACCGGCUAACUUCGUG